UGUGAUGUUACAUGCUACUACAGUUACAUACAUGUUGUGAUGUUACAUGCUACUACAGUCACAUACAUGUUGUGAUGUUACAUACUACUACAGUUACAUACAUGUUGUGAUGUUACAUACUACAACAGUUACAUACAUGUUGUGAUGUUACAUACUACUACAGUUACAUACAUGAUGUUACAUUCUACUACAGUUACAUACUACUACAGUUACAUACAUGAUGUGAUGUUACAUACUACUACAGUUACAUACAUGAUGUUACAUACUACUACAGUUACAUAUGUGAUGUUACAUUCUACUACAGUUACAUACAUGUUACAUACUACUACAGUUACGUACAUGUUACAUACUACUACAGUUACGUAGAUGUUACAUACUACUACAGUUACAUACAUGAUGUUACAUACUACUACAGUUACAUAUGUGAUGUUACAUACUACUACAGUUACAUAUGUGAUGUUACAUACUACUACAGUUACAUACAUGUUACAUACUACUACAGUUACAUGCAUGAUGUUACAUACUACUACAGUUACAUACAUUAUGUGAUGUUACAUACUACUACAGUUACAUACAUGAUGUUACAUACUACUACAGUUACAUACGUGAUGUUACAUACUACUACAGUUACAUACGUGAUGUUACAUACAUGUUACAUACUACUACAGUUACAUACAUGUUACAUACUACUACAGUUACAUGCAUGAUGUUACAUACGUGAUGUUACAUACUACUACAGUUACAUACAUUAUGUGAUGUUACAUACUACUACAGUUACAUACAUGAUGUUACAUACUACUACAGUUACAUACGUGAUGUUACAUACUACUACAGUUACAUACGUGAUGUUACAUACAUGUUACAUACUACUACAGUUACAUACAUGCUGCUACAUACAUGAUGUGAUGUUACAUACUACUACAGUUGCA
ensembl:lncRNA